rnacentral:rRNA from 1 species
UACGAAGGGGGCUAGCGUUGCUCGGAAUUACUGGGCGUAAAGGGCGCGUAGGCGGCACUGUUAGUCAGGCGUGAAAGUCCUGGGCUCAACCUGGGAACUGCGCUUGAUACGGCAGAGCUAGAGGAUGGAAGAGGGUCGCGGAAUUCCCAGUGUAGAGGUGAAAUUCGUAGAUAUUCGGAAGAACACCAGUGGCGAAGGCGGCUCACUGGACCGGUAUUGACGCUGAGGUGCGAAAGCGUGGGGAGCAAACAGG